CUAGACAAUACUUCAUCGAAUGCUACUUUUCGUUGAGUUUACCCUUGCACCACUUUAUGCUGGAUAGCCAUUAGUUUCUUCUUCACUACUUUCGACUACCUCUCCUUUAUCAAGGAAUAAUUGUUGGUCGAAAUAGAGAUAAUUUGUGUCAUUCUGGGAGAUGCCACAUCAAUUAACGUCCCAGGUUCACUAAAAAGAAAUUGUGAAGUCCAUCUUACUUUUUGAUGUCCUCGAUUAAGCGAGUUUGUCAAAGGACAUGCUCAACUUAAUCCCCACACUCAAGUUGUCUGCUUAAUCUUUAUUUCCUCAUAUCAUCCACUUCAGUUUUAUUCGUGAUUCUCACAACUGUGUAAACAAUGCACGAAUCUUGUAUUCGUGCCCGCUUUGUAGACUUUGAAGAUCUUCUCCUCCAUCCCAUGUCCCUUAUUUGACAC
rnacentral:lncRNA from 1 species